rnacentral:misc_RNA from 1 species
ACCUUAUCAACCGCUUCAGAUUUUUGAAUGUGGCUUGGACAAUGGGGGGCUCUUUGCUGGCCUUCAGAGAAAGGUCGGCUCCCCUGAAAUGCAUUAGUGGCAUCUGAGCUGCUACUGUAGGUGUGAUAAACUAUCUAUGCCUUUGGUAUGCUGCAUGAACAGAUCGCGCUGCUCAAAACCAAUUUGACAA